GACGAACGCUGGCGGCGUGCUUAACACAUGCAAGUCGAACGGUGAAGCUCCAGCUUGCUGGAGUGGAUCAGUGGCGAACGGGUGAGUAACACGUGAGCAACCUGCCCCUGACUCUGGAAUAAGCGCUGGAAACGGCGUCUAAUACUGGAUACGAGAAGGGUCCGCAUGGGCACUUUCUGGAAAGUUUUUCGGUUGGGGAUGGGCUCGCGGCCUAUCAGCUUGUUGGUAAGGUAAUGGCUCACCAAGGCGACGACGGGUAGCCGGCCUGAGAGGGCGACCGGCCACACUGGGACUGAGACACGGCCCAGACUCCUACGGGAGGCAGCAGUGGGGAAUAUUGCACAAUGGGCGAAAGCCUGAUGCAGCGACGCCGCGUGAGGGAUGACGGCCUUCGGGUUGUAAACCUCUUUCAGCAGGGAAGAAGCGAAAGUGACGGUACCUGCAGAAGAAGCACCGGCUAACUACGUG
rnacentral:rRNA from 1 species